rfam:Salmo salar isolate Sally breed double haploid chromosome ssa12, whole genome shotgun sequence.
UAGCUCAGUUGGUAUAGCAUGAUGCUUGCAACGCUAGUGUUGUGGGUUCAAUUCCCAC